UAUCUGGGAAGUUUAAUUGAAAUGUGAUUUUGUGCGAUUCGUAAAGGCGUGUUUGGCCCUUCCUAUUUGUGGGAAGCUUUUAUAUAUGCAUAUAUGCUUUACGAGUUGUUGAACUCAUCUAUUUUGAACCAAACAAAAAAAUAAAAAUAUCUAGAGAAAGGGGAAGGAGAACCGUGAGAGAAAGAGAAGGAGAGAGAGAAGAGGCAAAGCUUCUCCCUAAGGAAUUCAACAUCCAUGGAAGCUUGAAGAUGGUUGAAGAAGAUAGAAGAGAGAGGAAAGAUCAACCAAAAGCUUGGGAAAAUUGAAGAGACUAAGGGAUGAACAAAGGUUUGGGUAAGGUCGAGACGAGGACAUUGUACCAUUACCACCGGGAACCGAUCACUGUAACCAACCAAGUGGUCAGUCCUAGUCAUGACACCCGUUUUCUUUUGUCAACCUUCGUGGGUUCAGGCACUGCACGAAGCCAUUUAUUUUUGUAAAGUCUAUUGAAAUGUUGGCUUAAUUUUGAUUACCCAUUUAAAAUUAAAGAGGUAGAACUUCAUUGAUUUUUAUAUAAGCCCAAUGAUGGGGCUGGGUCUGUACAUAUGGUUGUUUAUCACCGAUGCUACAACAUAUGGUUUGGAGCUUUAUCUAUUUUCCAUGAUGAAUGUGAUGUAUAAGAAGUCCUGGCAUGUAGAUGUAGCUCAGUGAAAUUUAUAUGUAUAGUUAUUUUCCUACUUUAUGCUUCCGAUGAGGCCCCAUAUGUUAUUUACUACAGGUUAAGUGUUCGUUUUCAAACGGGUCAUGCCCAAGCUUUUAGGGGCGGGUUUGGGGCGUGACAAGUGGUAUCAGAGCACGAGUUGCUAUCUCACACACGAAUCCAUUGAGCUUUAGGAUGUCCAAAAAAGACUUAGGCAUCAUGUAUGACAUCCUUAGUGCACAUGAAAGGAAUUGAUAGCAACGAUAAUGGUACAUGUAAUGACGCUAACCGCAAUGGUUAUUCUUCAUGUCUGUUAUACAUUUUUUGUAUAUAUUGUGAUUGAUUACUAUGCAGAACAUGGUAAGACCUGCUGAUGGGAUUCAACCAAUAAAGUUGCGCAGCGGAAGCGUGGUAAGAAUUCACGUUGAACGGUAAGACAAGUUAUAUGCCUAUGAUUAAGUGAAAUGUGUGUUAUUAAUUGUGACUGUAGAAUUGAUAAAUAUCUGCGAAGCAUCUGUUUAGAUGACUUACUUACAUGAUUUAGUGUGCACAUAAGAUAAUAUGUGCGAUGUGCACUUUCUGUAACAUAGGCACAUCCUUCUUAUUAUAACAAUGUUUAAGCCUGCGAGUUUGAGAGGUUAUUGUAAGUUGAUAGUUGCUAAAAUAAGUUUCACAUGAUACUUUGUAAUAUGUUGAAAAGGACUGGCUGUGAUAAAAAGUUAUAUAUAUAGUGAUUCUGUUUUGUUCAUGCGUAAUCUGUAAUCUGUAAUCAAGAUUUCUUACAAGGAAUGGUCGAAUAAUAUGAAGAACCCCACCUAUAUGAUGAGUCUGCCCAUAUGAUACUGGUAAAAAA